UUAGCUUGUCAGUCUGUCAAAUUUCAGGAAUUCAAAAUCCUUAAAAUGAAAACUGACCAUGAAGUCGGUCAGUACAGUUAAAUCAGGAAUGUUCUGUGGGAAGUAUUUCUGCCCUCUGGGGGUGAACUGACAAGUGAGAGCCUUUGCGGAGCUAGGGGCAGGCAGACAUGAAGUGUUUUGUGCUUCAUGCAUGUGCAUCUCAGUCCUCCUCUCCGGUAAAAGGCCCGUGUCCACUCAACCCAAAUGACUACCAAGCAGGCAGGCCCUCUGCCUGAUGCAGCAACGGGACAGAGUAGCCCUCCAGGUAGCUGUCACGGGAUACGACCUCAAACUCACCAUCCUGCUGUGAUUUCUUUAAAGCCUCAGAAAGAAAUAUGGAUAAUGAAGGAGCACCUGAAGGGUAAUCCACAGAGCCCCUUCAUUCAGGAUAUUACAGACGUCACCUUGAACGAACAAGAUGGCCAGCCAAGUGUGGGUGGAGACUACUCUGUCUUAUAUCCCUCCCAGAAAACUUGCUUUAAACAUAGACAAGAAGAAUAGUCAUUUACAUUUAUUAAGGAUUUAAAAUGUACUUAAAAAUGGGACUUGUUCAAUCUUCUCAGCGACCUGAAGCAUUUGGAGUGUGUGUGUGUGUGUGUGUGUGUGUGUGUGUGUGUGCGCGCGCGCGCGCGCGCGCACGCGUGCGUGCGUGCAUUUAGGUGUCUCCAUUUUACGGGAGGAAACCAAAGCACAGAGUGGCUAAAUAAUCUGCCCAAGGGGAGGGGCAGAGCUGAUAUGUGAAAUCAGGUUCUCAAGCAUUUUAAUAUGAUACUCUUGGUUUUCACUGAAAGGACACUAUCAGUCUUACUUUUACUUACUUAAUUUUUUUCUUUUUGCAGGGAGAAGUUUGGGAAUUGGACCCAGGACCUUCACAUUGAGCUAUAUUCCUAGCCCUUCUAAAAUUGUUUUUUGUUUUGUUUUUAAUUUGAAGAUCUCACUAAGUCACUAAGUUCCCUAGGCUAGGCUCAAACUUGCAGUCCCUUUGCCUGGGAUUACAGGUGUAUGCUAUUCAUCCCACAUUUUCUGACAAAGCAUCAUUAGAAGCAUGAGUGCAGGAGUGGCACUGUGUGCUGGAGAGACUCAGACGGCGGCGCGGGCUCCAGCUCUGGCCUUCACUGCCUGCUACACACCCUGAGCAAACCCAUUACAUUAAAAUACAAGAAAAGAAGAUGCCCAUUUCUCCCUGAUCAAUUUUAAAACAGCUCUUAAUGGCCAGGACUGCUGAAAGUUCAAAGUAGACUGAAUGAUGAUCUUCUGAAUGAGAGGGAGUUGGGAGCUGCUGUAAUGAGUGCCGAGAAGACCAGCUGAGACAAUGCACAUGGAAAUGCUCUAACCUACUUGUACUGGAGGAUUUGGACACUGGGACUAAAAGCCAGAUUCUGCCCGUCACAGAGCCUGCUGCCAGGCAACUUCUUCUUCUUCUUCUUCUUUUUUUUUUUUUUGUCUUUUUCAUUUUUAUCGGUACCAUGGAUCGAACUCACGACUGCCUGCUUGCAAGGCAGGAGGCGCUUAUGCGGCUGAUCUAAAUCCCCAGCCCCCCAGGCAACUUCUCAUCAUCGUCUAUACAUUUGCCAAAAUGUAUUCCAAAGAACACUACAAAGAAUGUUUCCAAAGCGCUGAAGAAGCAAACUUAAGGAAUGCAUGUAAUGUCCUUUCCCAUUCUAAACCAAUAAAAAUCCUUCUUUGAUGCACAUUACAA